GGCGGUUCUUGGGUGACACACCUCAGAAUCGGGCUCCUUCCUCUCUGGUUCCGGGUGCGUCACCCAAGAACUGCC
rfam:Myotis brandtii contig251032, whole genome shotgun sequence.